UUGGAAAACUACCUUGGCCUUUAACGUAA
rnacentral:piRNA from 1 species